rnacentral:rRNA from 1 species
UACAGAGGGUGCAAGCGUUGUUCGGAAUUAUUGGGCGUAAAGGGCCCGUAGGCGGUGCGGUAAGUCUGUAGUGAAAUCUCUGGGCUCAACUCAGAGUCUGCUGCAGAAACUGCCGUGCUUGAGUGUGGGAGAGGUGAGUGGAAUUCCCGGUGUAGCGGUGAAAUGCGUAGAUAUUGGGAGGAACACCAGUGGCGAAGGCGGUCCCCUGGGCCGGAACUGACGCUGAGGCGCGAAAGCGUGGGUAGCAAACGGG